UACCCGCGGCCCGAGUGGUGGUCGAUAUUAUUGAGCCUAAAACGUCCGUAGCCGGUCUCCUAAAUCCUUGGGUAAAUCGGGCAGCUUAACUGUCCGAAUUCCGGGGAGACUGGGAGACUUGGGACCGGGAGAGGUUAGAGGUACUUCUGGGGUAGGGGUAAAAUCCUGUAAUCCUGGAAGGACCACCGGUGGCGAAGGCGUCUAACUAGAACGGAUCCGACGGUGAGGGACGAAGCCCUGGGGCG
rnacentral:rRNA from 1 species